AUGGAAUCGGUGGGGGUAGGAGGGACCUCUGGAGAUGAUGCAGUCCAACCCCUCACCAAGGCAGUGUCACUCGGAGCAGGUGACACAGAGGCAGAGUUUUUCAUGAAAACAACUGAAAAACUGGAGAUGGAGGUGAGGCCUCUUUGAAGAUUGGGUUAUAAAAGCUGUCUCAGACUGUUCCUGCCAGGAGGUGCUACCACGUGAACUAGAAAGACUCCAGCAAGCCUACAUCCUUUUCAUCAUACAGUUUUAGUAUCAUCCAAUAAACCAGGCAGAUAAGUUUUCA